rnacentral:tRNA from 1 species
CUAAGGAUGAUCCUUCAGCGAGCUUCGGCUCACUAUCGGAUCGUUUUAAGAAACAUCAGUGGCCAACGGUCGUCAGGAUCGUUGAGCUGCAUUGGCGGGAUUUCGCCGUCUUCGUUUCUCUUUCUUCGCGGACGAACACGCGCUGGGCCUGCAUGGUUGCAGGAUCCCGGUCCUUAACUGGAUAUGCGUUAGGGGCUUGUAGCUCAGUUGGUUAGAGCGCGCGCUUGAUAAGCGUGAGGUCGGAAGUUCAAGUCUUCCCAGGCCCACCACACUCAUCGAGUGAGCAUUCGUCUUCUGGUUACGGGGCCAUAGCUCAGCUGGGAGAGCGCGUGCUUUGCAAGCAUGAGGUCGUCGGUUCGAUCCCGUCUGGCUCCACCAGAUGGUUUGAUCAUCGACUGAUCGUGCACCUAAAUCGUCCGCGAAACAUCACUUCGCACCCACUAGUCCGGAUGGACAGUGACGUGCGUGAUUUCUGACAUCGUAAAGAGGAGAUCGAUCCGAGUUGGAUCGUGCAGCAAGCAAUUGCUACGCGGUACUCCAUUAUCUCCGGAUCAUUUCGGCGCUCGUGCGUCUUCCAAGGUAGCUCACAAGGCUGCAUUGAAAGACAAGCGAGUUGUAAAUGAUCCUUUUAGCGAAGCUUGACCGCCUCGCUAUCGGAACGAUCUUACGAAGCAAGCUGGUCUUUCUAAUCAUUGUCCGGCUGCAGAUAGCGUUCAUCGAGGGCGCGUACCUUAGAGACUUAGGUUUCUUGGUAAUUCUGCAGACAACAUUCUGCCGAGUGUGUGGACAUUGAUAAUGAGAGC